rnacentral:rRNA from 1 species
AGUGAACGCUGGCGGUAGGCCUAACACAUGCAAGUCGAACGGCAGCACAGUAAGAUCUUGCUCUUACGGGUGGCGAGUGGCGGACGGGUGAGGAAUACAUCGGAAUCUACUUUUUCGUGGGGGAUAACGUAGGGAAACUUACGAUAAUACCGCAUACGACCUACGGGUGAAAGCAGGGGAUCUUCGGACCUUGCGCGAUUGAAUGAGCCGAUGUCGGAUUAGCUAGUUGGCGGGGUAAAGGCCCACCAAGGCGACGAUCCGUAGCUGGUCUGAGAGGAUGAUCGGCCACACUGGAACUGGGACACGGUCCAGACUCCUACGGGAGGCAGCAGUGGGGAAUAUUGGACAAUGGGCGCAAGCCUGAUCCAGCCAUACCGCGUGGGUGAAGAAGGCCUUCGGGUUGUAAAGCCCUUUUGUUGGGAAAGAAAAGCAUCAGGUUAAUACCCCGCUGUUCUGACGGUACCCAAAGAAUAAGCACCGGCUAACUUCGUG